GCGCCUUCUCGGCCUCAGAGUCCAAUGGCUCUGGACGCGCUUGAGGAGCCCUUCAACCCGCUGCUGCGCUGUGGGGGCCCCUCUCUGGGGCUGGCCGAGGCAGGAGCCGGCUCCCUCUGCUCACGGGGAGGUGUGGAGGGAGAGGAACGUCUGGGAGCCAGGGCCGCAAGCGGCACUCAGGGGCCUGCGCGGGUUCGGGUGGGCCGGGCUCAGAAGGCCCCGCGCUCAGCGCAGCCAGCCGGUGCCUGCUGGGCUUGAUCAGGAGAUGAGUUCCCUCUGGGCUGCCAGAGUGCCUGGGCUAGGUGCUGCAAAGUCCUAUAGCGACUGCCAUUGAGAAGUGAAGCCGGCUAGGCUUCUGGGUCAGGUGAGGACCUGAAGAACGUUUCUGUCUAGCUGAAGGUUUGUAAACGCACCAAUCAGUGCUUUGUCAAAACGGACCCAUCAGCUCUCUGUAAAACGGACCAAUCAGCUCUCUGUAAAAUGGACCAAUCAGCUCUCUAUAAAAUGGACCAAGCAGUAGGAUGUGGGUGGGGCCAGAUAAGGGAACGAAAGCAGGCCUCCCAAGCCAGGAGCGGCAAACUGCUGGGAUCCAUUUCCAUGCUGUGGACUCUUUGUGCUUUGCUCUUUGCAGUAAAUCUUGCUGCUGCUCACUUUUUGGGUCUGCACCACCUUUAUGAGCUGUAACACUCACCGCGAAGGUCUGCAGCUUUACACCUGAAGCCAGGGAGACCACGAACUCAUCAGGAGGAACGAACAACUCCAGACGCGCGGCCUUUAAGAGCUGUAACACUCAACGCGAAGGUCUGCAGCUUCACUCUUGAAGUCAGCGAAACCGCAAACCCACCAGAAGGAAGAAACUCCGGACACAUCUGAACACCUGAAGGAACAAACCCCGGACACACCAUCUCUAAGAACUGUAACACUCACCGCCAGGGUCCGCGGCUUCAUUCUUGAAUCAGUGAGACCAAGAACCCACCAAUUCCAGACACAGAAGGGAAGCUGACUCUUCCCGAAGCUCCUGAGAUAGACCAUCUGGCCCAGGCCAGGCUAAGCAGGCCAUUCCUGCCUCCUCAACACGGUGCAUGGUUCAAGACAGGGCAUGUGACCUCCACUGCUCCAAUCAGGGUGAUUCUCAGGCCUCGUACUAGGAAUACCAUAACAAGUUUCUUUCUCUUCUGGAUGGUAUGGAAGGCAGAUGAUCCUCAAUCAAUCACUUAAAGGCCUGAAUAGAACCAAAAGUCUGACCUGCCCAUGAGUAACAGAGAGCUCCUUCUGCCUGAUUGCUUCAGCUGAGAUAUCGGCCUUUCCCUGCCUUUGGAAUUGAACUGCAACACUGGCUCUUCUUGGGCCUCAAGACUGCCAGCUUUUGAACUGUAACCACACUAUCAUCUCUCCUGGUUCUCAGGCCUUUGGACUCAAAUCAGAAGCAUACCAGGGGCUCUCCUACAUCUCCAACUUGCUAACUGUGAUCUUGAGACUUCUUAGCCUCCAUAAUCACAUGAGUCAAUUGUUGGUUCUGCUUCUCUGGAGAACCCUAAUCCAUCACUCUACAUCUUUGUUCCAUUAUACAUAUUGCUUCCCAGCAUAUUAAAUAAUUUAUCGAUUAUAUUUUUGGUUUAUUAUUUAUUUCUCCUACUGGAAUGUAAGUUUCACAGAGCUCUUGUUCAUUGCUAGAUCUCAAGCCUGGCAUCUAGUAGGUAUUCAGCAAAUAGCUGUUGAAAGAUGAAAAAAUAAAUCUAAUCUGCCAAGUGGAGGUAGGUACUGCGAAGAAGAAUAAAACCAAAUAAAGGAACUUGAGGGGAACAACAGCACUUCUUUUUAUAGAAGGUAGUUAGGUCCUGGUGGGACAAUGGACAUUACUACUGGGAUAUAAUGUUUAUCUUCCAAACUAGGCUAUCUUUCUUAAUCCUGAGAUCCUUGCAGAUUCACAUGGAGUUAUAAGAAAUAAUACAGAGAAAUCUCAUGUAUCCUCUACCCAGUUUCCUUGAAUAGUACCA
rnacentral:lncRNA from 10 species